GUGGCCGUUUCUUGAACACAAAGACUUCCAAAAAUGGAAUACAUGAAAUCGAGGCAAAGAAAGCUACUGGUGGUAAAAUAUUUCAGCCAACUGGUUCUCAGAGUUCUGAAGUCUUGCAAUCUGACAGUGGAACUUUGAAUUCAUCAAAAGAAGCAAAUGGUGGUGGAUCAAAUCUUUCAGGGUCUGAAGUCACAAGUAUGUAUACCAGGAGAGAUCUCGAUCACUGUUCAAUCAAUCACCUUACAUCACAAGUACAAUCUUUCUCAAUCAUGAUGGAUAGUGGGCAUAGCAUUGUUAUGCCCACUAAGUGGGUUGCAGCAGCAGAUAACUGUUGCAACCUGAAAGUUUAGUAUCAAGGGCAUGGGAUUGGGGCUUGGUGCUUGCCCUAUGUACCAAUCCCAUCCCUCGAUGCAUCCAAAUGAAAAAGGUCUGUUGUGUUGGCAGGGCUUUGUGUGGAGAUUGACUUCCGCCAUUUGGGUGCUGGGCAAAUCAUUCUUGGCUCUUACGCAUUAAGGUCAUCUCUGUCUUUCCAUGCAAUCCAUUAACUGGUUGAUCAGAGGUGAACAUCUUAAUGUGGUAUUAUAUUAAAAAAAGAAAAAUUUAAGGAAAGAAAAGGACUAGAAAAUAAAAUGGGUCUAUCCCAUCUUGUAAGAAUGAUGUGAAAGUCUGGUUGUGUGUUUGUGAUCCUACAUUAUGUUGAAACAUGAUGUUUUAGAUGUUUAAUAUCUUCUGUCUGGCUUAUCACUUCUCAAAAUAAUGUAUUCUGGAACUGAACUUGUGUUAUCACCUCUAUUUCUGUAAUCACCAUGUGUUAUCCCAUGGAAUUUUUUUUUUAACACAAAUAAAA
rnacentral:misc_RNA from 1 species